GAACUGAAUUUGAUCAGUAAUUACUUCAAUUUUGCUUUUCAGUCUUCAGAAAACCAUCGGAAAAUCAGUAAUGGCUUCAAUUAACACUCACAUUCAAAUUCUCAUUCUGUUCUUUUUUCUUCAGAAAACCAUCGGAAACAUUCUUGAUUAAGUCUGUCACUUGUUCUUUUGAUCUUUAGAGCUUCAACUUUGUGCUGUUUUUUCACCCAAAAUGCAGAACCAAGUAAACCAACCUCCUUCAGGUCCAUCUCUUUCCAUUUCUCACACACGGACACGGACACGAACACGAACACGAACACAAGCUUCUUUUAAAGCACAACAGAAGAAUUUUCCAUAAAAGCCACAAACGUUUACAAGGAGAACGAGAGCCAAAGAGGGCUGACAAGCACUAGCUCACCUCCACAUGCACAAGUAUAAACUGUAUGUUAUAGUUCUAAAGCAAAAAUUUACUUGCAGGUUACCCAACUGAGAAUCCUCCAGCAGAGAAGAAGAAGAAGUUUUUGUCACGAACUAAGCCAAAAGGAGAUAGGGGUUUCCUCGAGGGAUGGUAAGCUUCUUUAAUCAAAUCUUUAAGUCGGAUUUACAAGUCUUUAUUCAUAUUUCAUUUCGACUAACACCAAUUGACUGAAAUAAGA
rnacentral:lncRNA from 1 species